AUGGGCGCAAGCCUGAUCUAGCCAUGCCGCGUGAGUGAUGAAGGCCUUAGGGUCGUAAAGCUCUUUCGCCAGGGAUGAUAAUGACWGUAUCUGGUAAAGAAACCCCGGCUAACUCCGUGCCAGCAGCCGCGGUAAUACGGAGGGGGUUAGCGUUGUUCGGAAUUACUGGGCGUAAAGCGCGCGUAGGCGGACUAUUAAGUCAGAGGUGAAAUCCCAGGGCUCAACCCUGGAACUGCCUUUGAUACUGGGUGUCUUGAGUUCGAGAGAGGUGAGUGGAAUUCCGAGUGUAGAGGUGAAAUUCGUAGAUAUUCGGAGGAACACCAGUGGCGAAGGCGGCUCACUGGCUCGAUACUGACGCUGAGGUGCGAAAGUGUGGGGAGCAAACAGGAUUAGAUACCCUGGUAGUCCACACCGUAAACGAUGAAUGCCAGUCGUCGGGUAGUAUACUWUUCGGUGACACACCUAACGGAUUAAGCAUUCCGCCU
rnacentral:rRNA from 1 species